UACGUAGGAGGCAAGCGUUAUCCGGAAUUAUUGGGCGUAAAGCGGGUGCAGACGGUCUUUUAAGUCGGAUGUAAAAUCUCCCGGCUCAACUGGGAGGGACCAUUCGAUACUGUCAGGCUAGAGGGCAGCAGAGGGAGGUGGAAUUCCCGGUGUAGUGGUGAAAUGCGUAGAUAUCGGGAGGAACACCAGUGGCGAAGGCGGCCUCCUGGGCUGUUUCUGACGUUGAGACCCGUAAGCGUGGGGAGCAAACAGGAUUAGAUACCCCGGUA
rnacentral:rRNA from 1 species